rnacentral:rRNA from 1 species
GAUGAACGCUGGCGGCGUGCCUAAUACAUGCAAGUCGAGCGAACAGACGAGGAGCUUGCUCCUCUGACGUUAGCGGCGGACGGGUGAGUAACACGUGGAUAACCUACCUAUAAGACUGGGAUAACUUCGGGAAACCGGAGCUAAUACCGGAUAAUAUAUUGAACCGCAUGGUUCAAUAGUGAAAGACGGUUUUGCUGUCACUUAUAGAUGGAUCCGCUCCGCAUUAGCUAGUUGGUAAGGUAACGGCUUACCAAGGCAACGAUGCGUAGCCGACCGGAGAGGGUGAUCGGCCACACUGGAACUGAGACACGGUCCAGACUCCUACGGGAGGCCGCAGUAGGGAAUCUUCCGCAAUGGGCGAAAGCUUGACGGAGCAACGCCGCGUGAGUGAUGAAGGUCUUCGGAUCGUAAAACUCUGUUAUUAGGGAAGAACAAAUGUGUAAGUAACUAUGCACGUCUUGACGGUACCUAAUCAGAAAGCCACGGCUAACUACGUG